rnacentral:lncRNA from 1 species
GAGGAGCGCUUGUCUGUGCCUUCUGAGGCUAAGAGCCAUUAUGAAAUGACCUGUAGGAGUCUUUUUACUGAAUUUAUGGAACUUCAGAAGCUUGUGUCCAUCAUCCAGACCUCCAAAGAGAGUCUGAGAAAAAUGGAUGUUGAAGAUUUGCUGGAAACGCCCCUGCAGAAGAAGGAAAAACAGAGGGCACCCCUGUGGCCCAGCAUCAUCUGCGAGCUGCAGGCUGGGGUGAGGCUGCGCAAGGCCACCUGAGCGACUGCAGUGCCCUGCCCCGCUCAAAGAGCGUGCCUGCUCCCCCUAUGAACGACUUCUGGAUGACAUUCAGCACAGGAGGUACAACCUUCGGAAGGUGAUCGUCGAGCAAAAACGCAGGACCCCCAGUGAUGAUGUAGCUGCUCCCAAGCCUCAUCUGAAACCUGUGCUGCAGAGGAAGCUGAGAGAGUGCGUGCCACAGGAGUCCAGGUGGCACCAACAGCUCCUGGCAGAAACAAAGCGACCCCAGAUGCCGCAGCCAUCCACAGCAAGGGAAAGCGGGGGCAGGCCCACAGAAAUGCCUGUGAUGCCUAAAAUCGCCUUGAGAUCUCCAAGUGAUCGUUUCUUAACAUUUCAAGAUGCCAGUCCAGAGUUUAAAACUGUCAGUGCUAUAGCACAGGCAGCUGGGACCAGAAGUUCAGGUAAGGCUUUAAAUGAAGGGACUGGAGAGGUGUAAAUAGUCUGGUCUGGGCUUUGGAUCUGUACACACACA